rnacentral:rRNA from 1 species
AUUGAACGCUGGCGGCAGGCCUAACACAUGCAAGUCGAACGAGUGGCGGACGGGUGAGUAAUGUCUGGGAAACUGCCUGAUGGAGGGGGAUAACUACUGGAAACGGUAGCUAAUACCGCAUACCAUCGGAUGUGCCCAGAUGGGAUGUGCUAGUAGGUGGGGUAACGGCGAACCUAGGCGACGAUCCCUAGCUGGUCUGAGAGGAUGACCAGCCAAACUGAAACUGAGACACGGUCCAGACUCGUACGGGAGUGAGCAGUGGGAAAUAUUGCACAAUGGGCGCAAGCCUAAUGCAGCCAUGCCGCGUGUAUGAAGAAGGCCUUCGGGUUGUAAAGUACUUUCAGCGAGGAGGCGUUACCCGCAGAAGAAGCACCGGCGAACUCCGUGCCAGCAGCCGCGGUAAUAC